GGGACAGUAGCGCAGUGGUAGAGCUCCCGCUUCACAUGCGGGAAAACCUGGGUUCGAUCCCUGGCUGCUUCC
rnacentral:tRNA from 1 species